rnacentral:rRNA from 1 species
GACGACGCUGGCGGCGUGCUUAACACAUGCAAGUCGAACGGUGACGAGGAGCUUGCUCCUCUGAUCAGUGGCGAACGGGUGAGUAACACGUGAGCAACCUGCCCCAGACUCUGGGAUAACAGUUGGAAACAGCUGCUAAUACCGGAUACGAGACGGAGAGGCAUCUCUACCGUCGUGGAAAGUUUUUCGGUCUGGGAUGGACUCGCGGCCUAUCAGCUAGUUGGUGAGGUAAUGGCUCACCAAGGCGACGACGGGUAGCCGGCCUGAGAGGGCGACCGGCCACACUGGGACUGAGACACGGCCCAGACUCCUACGGGAGGCAGCAGUGGGGAAUAUUGCACAAUGGGCGAAAGCCUGAUGCAGCGACGCCGCGUGAGGGAUGACGGCCUUCGGGUUGUAAACCUCUUUCAGCAGGGAAGAAGCGAAAGUGACGGUACCUGCAGAAGAAGCACCGGCUAACUACGUG